GUUUAUAGGGUGUUCGUUUAUAGUGUGUUAGUUUAUCUGGGUGUUAGUUUAUCUGGGUGUUAGUUUAUCUGGGUGUUAGUUUAUAGGGUGUUAGUUUAUAGGGUGAUAGUUUAUAGGGUGUUAGUUUAUAGGGUGUUAGUUUAUAGGGUGUUCGUUUAUAGUGUGUUAGUUUAUCUGGGUGUUAGUUUAUCAGGGUGUUAGUUUAUCAGGGUGUUAGUUUAUAGGGUGUUAGUUUAUAGGGUGUUAGUUUAUCAGGGUGUUAGUUUAUAUGUGUGUUAGUUUAUCUGGGUGUUAGUUUAUCAGGGUGUUAGUUUAUCAGGGUGUUAGUUUAUAUGGGUGUUAGUUUAUCAGGGUACAAUGCAGAUGUAGAAGCACG
rnacentral:lncRNA from 1 species